rnacentral:lncRNA from 1 species
AAACAGAGAGUAUAUUAGAGACGUUAUUACCUAUACUAAGCCAUUUUCGCGUCUAAUACUUCGCACGUGGUUCAACCUAUUGUCGUCAACAUCAUCGCGAUUAAAUGAAUCUGUAUUCACCCAUUCGACCAUAACCAUGGUUGUUGGAUGGAGAUAGAACGGUGUUUGUAGAUACAUAAUCCCUACCGGCAACCGUCUGUAUGAAUCCGGGUACCUGACGAAAUACAGUUGUACCCAGGCGAAGUCACUACAUAUAAAAUAGGAAAUGAUAACAAGUGCCUUUAGAUUCUGUUCCGUUCAAUAGAGAGGAGGGAAAGGAUUUUUAUUGACGAAGCAUAAGUAUUUAAUUAAAGUAUUUAAGUAGAGAAUAUCAUAAAAAA